CUUUGACAGCGGAUUGAGCAGUUUGAGUUCGCUGGAGACAAGCUCUGGUGAGAUGUCGUACAGCGGGAUGUUGCCUGACAUCCACGCUAGCACAAACUGUGCUCUCUCCAUGGACGAAAAAUGCGAACGAGAAUGACAAAUGACUGCUGGAAAGCGAUGUUUUUCGAACCCAUCAUAGGGCUGUACGAACCAUUUCCCAAGGCGGACAAAAUCACGAGAAAGUAAGCAGCGUUCGAUUAAAUUGUGCAGAGCCUUGAAUAGUAAGGAUCGGCACUCAUAAGACAAUCCACUUUCCCAAGAGCCUUGUUCGCCUUCUGUAAAAGAGUUAAAAUAACGUAAGACUUUUUUCAAAUUUCACUACUCGACAUAUCGCUAGAGUAUCGG
rnacentral:misc_RNA from 1 species